rnacentral:rRNA from 1 species
GAUGAACGCUGGCGGCGUGCCUAGUACAUGCAAGUCGAGCGAACAGACGAGGAGCUUGCUCCUCUGACGUUAGCGGCGGACGGGUGAGUAACACGUGGAUAACCUACCUAUAAGACUGGGAUAACUUCGGGAAACCGGAGCUAAUACCGGAUAAUAUAUUGAACCGCAUGGUUCAAUAGUGAAGGACGGUUUUGCUGUCACUUAUAGAUGGAUCCGCGCCGCAUUAGCUAGUUGGUAAGGUAACGGCUUACCAAGGCGACGAUGCGUAGCCGACCUGAGAGGGUGAUCGGCCACACUGGAACUGAGACACGGUCCAGACUCCUACGGGAGGCAGCAGUAGGGAAUCUUCCGCAAUGGGCGAAAGCCUGACGGAGCAACGCCGCGUGAGUGAUGAAGGUCUUCGGAUCGUAAAACUCUGUUAUUAGGGAAGAACAAAUGUGUAAGUAACUAUGCACGUCUUGACGGUACCUAAUCAGAAAGCCACGGCUAACUACGUG